rnacentral:misc_RNA from 1 species
AUAUUUAACAGUGUCCUGGUACAUAGCCUCUUCCAUCUCCAAACACAUCGUUUCAAAUUUUUGGUAUAUGUUUCCAACCCAUGAUAUAGAUUUCAAGUCCAUUGCAGAAUAGGUACUCAACUUCACAGGGAUUCUAUCAAGUUAGUAUUGCGAGAUGUUACAGCUUCCCAACAAAGAUUUUCAGCAAAACACAAAAGAAUCAAGCUUUAUAACAUGGAUUCUAAAGAAA